rnacentral:rRNA from 1 species
UACGUAGGGAGCAAGCGUUGUUCGGAUUUACUGGGCGUAAAGGGCGCGUAGGCGGCGCGGUAAGUCACUUGUGAAAUCUCUGAGCUUAACUCAGAACGGCCAAGUGAUACUGCAGUGCUAGAGUGCAGAAAGGGCAAUCGGAAUUCUUGGUGUAGCGGUGAAAUGCGUAGAUAUCAAGAGGAACACCUGAGGCGAAGGCGGGUUGCUAGGCUGACACUGACGCUGAGUGCGCGAAAGCUAGGGGAGCGAACGGG